UUGUGCUUGAUCUAACCAUGCGAUGGCGAGGUAUAGGAACACCGUGGUUCUGUCAAGCACCGCG
rnacentral:pre_miRNA from 1 species